AGAGUUUGAUCAUGGCUCAGGACGAACGCUGGCGGCGUGCUUAACACAUGCAAGUCGAACGGAAAGGCCCUUCGGGGUACUCGAGUGGCGAACGGGUGAGUAACACGUGGGUGAUCUGCCCUGCACUUCGGGAUAAGCCUGGGAAACUGGGUCUAAUACCGGAUAUACCUCAUGGGCUGCAUGGUUUGUGGGGGAAAGCUUUUGCGGUGUGGGAUGGGCCCGCGGCCUAUCAGCUUGUUGGUGAGGUUAUGGCUUACCAAGGCGACGACGGGUAGCCGGCCUGAGAGGGUGACCGGCCACACUGGGACUGAGAUACGGCCCAGACUCCUACGGGAGGCAGCAGUGGGGAAUAUUGCACAAUGGGCGCAAGCCUGAUGCAGCGACGCCGCGUGAGGGAUGACGGCCUUCGGGUUGUAAACCUCUUUCAGCAGGGACGAAGCGAAAGUGACGGUACCUGUAGAAGAAGGACCGGCCAACUACGUGCCAGCAGCCGCGGUAAUACGUAGGGUCCGAGCGUUGUCCGGAAUUACUGGGCGUAAAGAGCUCGUAGGUGGUUUGUCGCGUUGUUCGUGAAAACUCACAGCUCAACUGUGGGCGUGCGGGCGAUACGGGCAGACUUGAGUACUGCAGGGGAGACUGGAAUUCCUGGUGUAGCGGUGGAAUGCGCAGAUAUCAGGAGGAACACCGGUGGCGAAGGCGGGUCUCUGGGCAGUAACUGACGCUGAGGAGCGAAAGCGUGGGGAGCGAACAGGAUUAGAUACCCUGGUAGUCC
rnacentral:rRNA from 1 species